GACGAACGCUGCGGCGUGCUUAACACAUGCAAGUCGAACGAUGAAGCCUAGCUUGCUAGGUGGAUUAGUGGCGAACGGGUGAGUAAUACGUGAGUGACCUACCUUUGACUCUGGGAUAAGCCUGGGAAACUGGGUCUAAUACCGGAUACGACCAAUCUCCGCAUGGGGUGUUGGUGGAAAGCGUUAUGGAGUGGUUUUAGAUGGGCUCACGGCCUAUCAGCUUGUUGGUGAGGUAAUGGCUUACCAAGGCGACGACGGGUAGCCGGCCUGAGAGGGUGACCGGCCACACUGGGACUGAGACACGGCCCAGACUCCUACGGGAGGCAGCAGUGGGGAAUAUUGCACAAUGGGCGCAAGCCUGAUGCAGCGACGCCGCGUGAGGGAUGACGGCUUCGGGUUGUAAACCUCUGUUAGCAUCGAAGAAGCGAAAGUGACGGUAGGUGCAGAGAAAGCGCCGGCUAAUAC
rnacentral:rRNA from 1 species